CGAGUCCACCUAAAAAAAAAUGUUUAAUUUCGAAUUGGAUUGGAACCGAAAUCACAUAAAGCGGGUCGGUUUUUGUUAAUUCGAUUUUAUUUUCUAUCGUAUGCGGUUAUUUCGGGUUUAUCGGUUAUAUUGGUCCAAUUUUGGUUAGUUGAUUGUAAUUUCUUCACCGGGUCGGAUCGAUCGAGCUCAGAGAAGAAGAAUUAGAGAUAAAUUUGAAAUCGCGGAAGAUCUGGUUCUCGACACGGCGAUCAGAGAUUGGGUUUUGAUCCCUCUCUCCGUCGUUACGGUUCUUAUUAGAAUUCUCCGCUACUUCGUCUCUUAGCUCAUGCGAUCUUCUCCGUCACCAAAGAAAGGUGAGUCAUCAUCUCUACUUAUUGGCCACCUAUAGAUUGUGUGUCAGAAUUAGCUGAAUUGGAUAGGGUUUGGUGAAUCAUCUUUAGUCACUGUGUAAGUUUUCUGUUUCUUAUGGAGGAAUUGGUGACACACAACGAAUGAUGCCAAUGGGUGGAUUUGACAUCCUUGAAAAUCUUCUCCUACAUUUUGCAUUCUGAUCUUGGUCCAAAGCCUGAUUUUUGUAUCACUGUAUUUCCAAAUUUUCCUGAGAGGACAAGAUCCUUGUGUUCUGCAAGAAGCCAUUGAUUGAAUGGAAGCUAUUUGAUGCGUUUUGUAUCAUUGCAUUUGCAAAUUGUCGAGGACUCAAGUAUGAAGACUGGAUAAAAACCUGCUCCUGCUUUCCUUGCCUGUGAGGCGCUCAAGCUGUGAUCCAAGGCAUCAUGGAGAUGUGUUGAAUUACAUACUCAAAUGUUUGUAAAUCAAUCUAAAUCACCUCUCAGGAGAUGCCUUGAUGGCUUUUGUGGCGAAGCAUGUAAUAGGUGUGCAUUCUACCUGGCUAUACUCCACCAAUGUAGCGAUUGUAAGAUUAGACAGACUAUCGUGCAGAUUCAAGAGAAUUGGUUUUCAGCAGAGCAUCUGAUUAGAAGGUUACUAGGCCCUGCAGAAAUUGUAAAACAGUGGAUUAAGGUACUAGGAACUAAGUGAAGUUUGAUUUUUCAAAGUCCUUUGAUUUGAGUGUGAACGAUACAGAUGAAAACUGAUCUAACCCUUGUAAACUGUUGAUAACACGUAAGGAACUGAGGAUUCUUUGCAUAGUCUGAGCAUCGUUUGGUUUGAGAAAGCUUUGUUAGAAGCAUGGUUAUAAGUCCUUUGAUUUGAGUGUAAGUGGUUAUAAGGUACUAGGAACUACUAGUCUAAGUGAAGUUUGAUUUCUUAAAGUCCUUUGAUUUGGUGUGAUCGAUGCAGAUGAAAACCCAAAUUGAUCUAACCCUUGUAAACUGUUGAUAACACGUGAGGAACUGAGGAUUUUUUGCAUAAUCUGGGCAUUGAUCGGUUAGGGAAGCUUUGUUGGAAGCAUGGUUGCAAGAGAUAGGUCAGAUUCUUCUUUAGAGGGUGGUUACAGCCAGUGUGAGUCAUUAGCUAAUGAAAUUUGCAGUCAUGAAUCUAAAAGGCAACCAAUACCACAAAGAGGUCAAGGAAAGUACCUUCUUCGAGUAACAAGCCAGCUUAAGCAAAUGCUGAUAGGCCAGAGAAGAUUGAGUGCAACCACUAGCAUAGACGUAAAAUCGGGUCAGUCAUAGUCGCGGCUCGAGAAGCAUGCAGCUUUCCACAUUUGAUUGGGCUGCGCUGGUCUGAUAUGGUGUACCAACUGGAAUUGAUGCUCUUCUUCCUUCUUUUUCAUCUUGUUAGUUUGGUUAGAGCAUCUUAUCUCGUAAUAACAAUUUUGGGGGAGAGAUUAUAUCAAAAGGUUUUAAGAGUUUAGGGCUUCAAAUCAGAGAUCUUAUGACGAUACAAGAGAAGAGAAAAGGGAGACUCUAGAGAUAUCACAUGGUGCAUUUCCUCAAAUUACAUGUUACAAUUAAUUUCUGUGUGUAUUUCCAUUUUAUUUAUUCAAGUUUUUAUCAUAUUUACAGAGACAUCAUUUUCUUUUAAAUCAUUAGACAAUGACAAACAUAACAAAAGAACAAGCUCAGAAUUCGGAAACGGAACAAAGAUACAAUAUGUGGGAUAAA